AACGCACAUUGCGCCCUUUGGCAUUCCGAAGGGCAUGCCUGUUCGAGCGUCAUUAUCCUCCCUCAAGCCCCCGGGUUUGGUGUUGGACCGCGUUGGAUCGUUCGCGACCAACUGGUCUCAAAGACAAUGACGGCGUCCGUGGGACCCUCUUCGCACUGAGCUUUCCGGAGCACGCGUCGAGUUUCAAGGUGUCACGGGCCCGGCCUCUAAAACGAAUUUUUUUCAGGUUGACCUCGGAUCAGGUAGGAAUACCCGCUGAACUUAA
rnacentral:misc_RNA from 1 species